UGUGUUUGUUGGAAGUAAAUAAGCAAGAAAUUCUAUGCAGAUUUCUGAAGCAGUCGUCAAGUGCCUAAAGUUUUGCUAUAUCCACAUAUCCCAUAUUUAUGGGUAUGGAAGCCUGUUUCCCCCGCCCGCGUAGAAAAAAAAAAAAAAAAAUCUCGAAAUAAUGAGGUACUAUUUCGCGACUCUGUACCGCCCAGUGCACAUGUGUUUCGGCGAAGCUGUCACGCUUUUCUCACGUUCUUGCAAAUGCCCUCUCAUCAGACACACAUACUGUAGCGGCUUUCUAGGUUCCAAAGCCAAACAGAAUUUAUAUCAGAGAAAGCUAAUUCUCCAAGACAAUGUAGGUGGGGUCUCCGGAAGACCUGGCUCUUUCGGCUCGGAUCACUUAAAAGAGUUGGCUCUUUCGACUCCAAAGUACGUGCUUGUACGUGUUCUUCGGAAAUGUAUUUUUUUUUUGUUCCUCAAUUUAUUAUCCACCAGAAAAAUGUUGCAAAAUGAAUGAGAGCUCAUAGUCGGAAAUGACUACAUUCAACAGCUCUUCUUCUGGAUCGGCGUAAAGUGAAAUGUGCAUUUUGAGUUUUAAAAUGAGUUUGUUACUUGGCUUUUGAUGGUUACAUUUACAGAUUUACCUGCAGAAAAUUGAUGGAACGGGAGCUUUUAAUUCAGAAAUCUUCCCAUUUUGUCUGAAACUUGUUUUUGUACUGAACCAGCAAUCAGAAAACAUGCUUCUGUUACAUGACUGUUUACUGCUCUAAAGUAAUGGGUUUUAAAUGUUUUCAUCUCUGAAUAACACACCAGCAAAUGCAUUUUUUUUACUCAUGAAAGUGCAUGCAAUUACACUUCCAUAACU